GCUGAUGAGUCCCAAAUAGGACGAAACUGAAUUCC
rnacentral:hammerhead_ribozyme from 1 species